rnacentral:rRNA from 1 species
UACGUAGGGGGCAAGCGUUGUCCGGAUUUAUUGGGCGUAAAGAGCGUGUAGGCGGUUAUGCAGGUCCGCUGUGAAAACUGGAGGCUUAACCUCCAGACGUCGGUGGAAACCGUAUAACUAGAGUCCGGAAGAGGAGAGUGGAAUUCCUGGUGUAGCGGUGAAAUGCGCAGAUAUCAGGAAGAACACCCGUGGCGAAGGUGGCUCUCUGGGACGGUACUGACGCUGAGACGCGAAAGCGUGGGGAGCGAACAGG